UGGGGAAUUUUGGACAAUGGGGGAAACCCUGAUCCAGCCAUCCCGCGUGUGCGAUGAAGGCCUUCGGGUUGUAAAGCACUUUUGGCAGGAAAGAAACGUCGCGGGUUAAUACCCCGCGAAACUGACGGUACCUGCAGAAUAAGCACCGGCUAACUACGUGCCAGCAGCCGCGGUAAUACGUAGGGUGCAAGCGUUAAUCGGAAUUACUGGGCGUAAAGCGUGCGCAGGCGGUUCGGAAAGAAAGAUGUGAAAUCCCAGAGCUUAACUUUGGAACUGCAUUUUUAACUACCGGGCUAGAGUGUGUCAGAGGGAGGUGGAAUUCCGCGUGUAGCAGUGAAAUGCGUAGAUAUGCGGAGGAACACCGAUGGCGAAGGCAGCCUCCUGGGAUAACACUGACGCUCAUGCACGAAAGCGUGGGGAGCAAACAGGAUUAGAUACCCUGGUAGUCCACGCCCUAAACGAUGUCAACUAGCUGUUGGGGCCUUCGGGCCUUGGUAGCGCAGCUAACGCGUGAAGUUGACCGCCUGGGGAGUACGGUCGGCAAGAUUAAAACUCAAAUGAAUUGACGGGGGUCGAUANCU
rnacentral:rRNA from 1 species